rnacentral:rRNA from 1 species
CGGACGGGUGAGUAACGCGUGGGUAACCUGCCUCAUACAGGGGGAUAACAGUUGGAAACGGCUGCUAAUACCGCAUAAGCCCACGGCUCGGCAUCGAGCAGAGGGAAAAGGAGCAAUCCGCUUUGAGAUGGCCUCGCGUCCGAUUAGCUAGUUGGUGAGGUAACGGCCCACCAAGGCGACGAUCGGUAGCCGGACUGAGAGGUUGAACGGCCACAUUGGGACUGAGACACGGCCCAG